GACGAACGCUGGCGGCGUGCUUAACACAUGCGAGUCGAACGGAAAGGCCCUGCUUUUGUGGGGUUCCCGGGUGGCGAACGGGUGCGUAACACGUGAGUAACCUGCCCUUCACUUUCGGAUAACUUCAGGAAACUGGGCCUACUCCCGUAUAGGAUCUCCUGUUGCAUGGUGGGCAGUGGAAAGUUUCGGCGGUUGGGGAUGGACGCGCGGCUUAUCAGCUUGUUGGUGGGGUAGUGGAGUACCCAGGCAGUGACUGAUAGGCGGCCUGGGAGGGUGACCGGCCACCAUGGGACUGAGGUAGGGACCAGACUCCUACGGGAGGCAACAGUGGGGAGUAUUGCACAGUGGGCGGACGCCUGAUGAAGCAACGCCGCGGUCGGAAUGACGGCCUUCUGGGUAUAAACCGCUUUCGCCUGUGACGAAGCGUGAGUGACGGUAAUGAAUAAAGAAGCACCGGCUAACUACGUG
rnacentral:rRNA from 1 species